rnacentral:rRNA from 1 species
UACAGAGGGGGCAAGCGUUGUUCGGAAUUACUGGGCGUAAAGGGCGCGUAGGCGGCCUGUUAAGUCGAACGUGAAAUCCCCGGGCUCAACCCGGGAACUGCGUCCGAUACUGGCAGGCUUGAAUCCGGGAGAGGGAUGCGGAAUUCCAGGUGUAGCGGUGAAAUGCGUAGAUAUCUGGAGGAACACCGGUGGCGAAGGCGGCGACCUGGGUAGAUACUGACGCUGAGGUGCGAAAGCGUGGGGAGCAAACGGG